AUGAUGAUGUUACUAAAGUAAAAGUGAAUUAGAAACGUACGCAUUUAAACUGACGUAUAAACGAAGAAAAUCUCCAACAGAUGUUGUCCUGCCUUUUAAAUCCUCCGAAGUAUUGCUCAAACAUUCUAAAAGAAAAUCUAUCCAGUCACCUCCUUCCGUCACGUUUCUCAACUCUCGACCUUUGCCAACGAGGCCAAUAAUGGCUGAACAGUCAAAGCGAUCGAGAGUCUUCCCAAUGGUGUCACGUUGUCCGGUAAAUUUUGAAGAACAGAACCAACGAUUCCACCACCUGGUCCUGACCACCAUUCUUUUCUUCUUUGUCGUCGAGAGGACCAAUCAUUAAUCAAUGAAUUUGUCUGUUCUUGAGUGGGUACGUCGCCGGUUAAUAGUAACCAAAAAACAGCUUCAACACUUGGAGAUGUUCCAUUACGUGGAAGAAGAUUUAAAACUUCUGGGAUAGUUAAUCCACGAUUAGGUAAUCAUCAUUACCCCAUACUUGGAAUCAUUUUCUGACGUUUCUCUGACCAUUGUAUUGACACCUUGAAGACCAUCGUAUACAUUGUCCACAGUAAUACGACUGAUCACAGAUUGACCGUGUUCUUUUCGAAAAUUUCGAAGGAGAUCAUAAUGAACCGGAAUUUUUUCGCAUAGAGCUUCCUUCAAAUUUGUACUUGUACUUGGAACGCCUCUCGUUGUACUGACCUUCAUAAAAAAAUCUUUUGCUGUAGUCAAUAGUUAUUACAUAAAUGAUCAUAAAGGAUUCUAAUUAUAAUCUUCAAACCCUUAGCACGUAUCGUUGUCCUAUAUUCGAAUUAGAUUUACAAAUGCCAGUAAUUCUGUAACCUCUUUUUUGAUUCUUCGAUGCGAUUUGAUAUCCAAAACUUUUCAAUAACAUUUUUUUUGGAUUUCCUUCGACAAUUCAGACAUAGCUAAAUAAUCUCAGACUUAGAAAUUCGUUUUCGAUUUGAUAUAUUGUUGAUUGAAAUAUUAGUAUUUAUAUUACGAUAAUUUUGAUAAUUUUUCACCCCAUUGCCCAGCCAUGAUUAUGCCAAAGAUAAACAUUUCAUGAAUGAUCGUAGAACAAAUGAGAAACGAUAGGAAAAUAUAUCAAUCAAAUGAAAAAAAUUCUAUUAGGUAUUACAAAAACAAUUCUCCUUGGAAUUUUUUAUUGUACGACUUCAGAAUAGAAAAUAAAGAGUCACGUUUCACACAUAAAAUAACACUUCUCUCAUUCCUGGGUACAAAGAUUUUCAACGAACACGCGUUUUGUAUUUUGUAUGUGUAUAUAUACAUACAUGUAUAUAUGAAUAUAUACACACACAUACACACAUCAUGUGGUCUAUAAUUAAUUUACGUAUAUCAUAUCGUACAAUGUAUGUAUACGAUAUACAUACGUUGCCUAGAUAGCUUUAAAUAACAAUCCGAUUAAAUAC